rnacentral:rRNA from 1 species
CAGGCUUAACACAUGCAAGUCGAGGGGCAGCAUGGUCUUAGCUUGCUAAGGCCGAUGGCGACCGGUGCACGGGUGAAUAACACAUAUCCAACCUGCCGUCUACCCUUGGACAGCCUUCUGAAAGGAAGAUUAAUACAGGAUGGCAUCAUGAGUCCGCAUGUUCACAUGAUUAAAGGUAUUCCGGUACACGAUGGGGAUGCGUUCCAUUAGAUAGUAUGCGGGGUAACGGCCCACCUAGUCUUCGAUGGAUAGGGGUUCUGAGAGGAAGGUCCCCCACAUUGGAACUGAUACACGGUCCACACUCCUACGGGAGGCAGCAGAGAGGAAUAUUGGUCAAUGGGCGAGAGCCUGAACCACCCAAGUAGCGUGAAGGAUGACUGCCCUAUGGGUUGUAAACUUCUUUUAUAAAGGAAUAAAGUCGGGUAUGCAUACCCGUUUGCAUGUACUUUAUGAAUAACUGAUCGGCUAACUCCGUGCCAGCAGCCGCGGUAAUACCGAGGAUCCGAGCGUUAUCCGGAUUUAUUGGGUUUAAAGGGAGCAUAAAUGGAUGUUUAAGUCAUUUGUGAAAGUUUGCGGCUCAACCGUAAAAUUGCACUUGAUACUGGAUAUCUUGAGUGCAGUUGAUGCAAGCGGAAUUCGUGGUGUACCGAUGAAAUGCUUAAAUAUCACGAAGAACUCCGAUUGCGAAGGCAGCCUGCUAAGCUGCAACUGACAAUUGAGGCUCGAAAGUGUGGGUAUCAAACAGGAUUUGAUACCGUGUGUAGUGCGCACGGUAAACGAUGAAUACUCGAUGUCUGCGAUAUACAGCAAGAGGCCAAGAAGCAAGCGUUAAGUAUUGCACGUGGGGAGUACGCAGGCAACGGUGAAACUCAAAGGAAUUGACGGGGGCCCGCACAAGCGGAGGAACAUGUGGUUUAAUUGGAUGAUACGCGAGGAUCCUUACCUGGGUUUAAAUUGCAGAUGAAUUAUGGUGAAAGCCGUAACAGACAAGGCAUCUGUGAAGGUGUUGCAUUGUUGUCGUCAGGUGGUACCGUGAGGUGUCGGCUUAAGUGCCAUAACGAGCGCUACCCUUGAUGUCACAUAUAAAGCAGGUUACUCUGAGGAGUCUGACAGGGAUACCAUGGUAAGAGGUGAGGAAGGUGGGGAAGUCGUCAAAUCAGCUCGGCCCUUACGUCCGGGGCUACACACGUGUUACAAUGGGGGGGUACAGAGGGCCGAUGCCACGCGAGUGGAUGCCAAUCCCAAAACCCUUUGUCAGUUCGGACUGGAGUCUGCAACCCGAAUCCAAGAAGCUGGAUUCGCUAGUAAUCGAGCAUCAGCCACGGCGCGGUGAAUACUUUCCCGGGCCUUGUACACCCCGCCAGUCAAGCCAUGGGAGCCGGGGGUACCUGAAGUGCGUAUAAGGAAGGAGCGCCCUAGGGUAAAACUGGUGACUGGGGUGAAGU